rnacentral:rRNA from 1 species
AACGAACGCUGGCGGCAGGCUUAACACAUGCAAGUCGAACGCCCCGCAAGGGGAGUGGCAGACGGGUGAGUAACGCGUGGGAAUCUACCCAGAACUACGGAACAACUGAGGGAAACUUCAGCUAAUACCGUAUACGACCUACGGGGGAAAGAUUUAUCGGUUCUGGAUGAGCCCGCGUUAGAUUUGCUAGUUGGUGAGGUAACGGCUCACCAAGGCGACGAUCUAUAGCUGGUCUGGGAGGAUGAUCAGCCACACUGGGACUGAGACACGGCCCAGACUCCUACGGGAGGCAGCAGUGGGGAAUAUUGGACAAUGGGCGCAAGCCUGAUCCAGCCAUGCCGCGUGAGUGAUGAAGGCCUUAGGGUUGUAAAGCUCUUUCAGUGGGGACGAUAAUGACGGUACCCAUAGAAGAAGCCCCGGCUAACUUCGUGCCAGCCGCCGCCGUAACAC